CUCGGCCGAUCCUCCCACCCUUUGUGUACCUACCUCUGUUGCUUUGGCGGGCCGCGGUUCUCCGCGGCCGCCCCCCUCCCCGGGGGGGUGGCCAGCGCCCGCCAGAGGACCAUCAAACUCCAGUCAGUAAACGAUGCAGUCUGAAAAACAUUUAAUAAACUAAAACUUUCAACAACGGAUCUCUUGGUUCUGGCAUCGAUGAAGAACGCAGCGAAAUGCGAUAAGUAAUGUGAAUUGCAGAAUUCAGUGAAUCAUCGAAUCUUUGAACGCACAUUGCGCCCUUUGGUAUUCCGAAGGGCAUGCCUGUUCGAGCGUCAUUACAACCCUCAAGCUCUGCUUGGUAUUGGGCACCGUCCUUUGCGGGCGCGCCUCAAAGACCUCGGCGGUGGCGUCUUGCCUCAAGCGUAGUAGAACAUACAUCUCGCUUCGGAGCGCAGGGCGUCGCCCGCCGGACGAACCUUCUGAACUUUUCUCAAGGUUGACCUCGGAUCAGGUAGGGAUACCCGCUGAACUUAAGCAUAUCAUAA
rnacentral:rRNA from 1 species